CGGUAAUACGUAGGCAGCGAGCGUUGUUCGGAGUUACUGGGCGUAAAGGGUGUGUAGGCGGUCCUCCGUGUCUGGUGUGAAAUCUCCCGGCUUAACUGGGAGGGUGCGCCGGAAACUGGAAGGCUUGGAGUGCGGGAUGGGAGAGUGGAAUUCCUGGUGUAGCGGUGAAAUGCGUAGAUAUCAGGAGGAACACCGGUGGUGUAGACGGCUCUCUGGACCGUAACUGACGCUGAGACACGAAAGCGUGGGUAGCAAACAGGAUUAGAUACCCUGGUAGUCCACGCCCUAAACGAUGCACAUUUGGUGUAGGUCAUUCAUUUGAUCUGUGCCGGAGCUAACGCGUUAAAUGUGCCGCCUGGGGAGUACGGUCGCAAGGCUGAA
rnacentral:rRNA from 1 species